GGGUGGGGGAAUGAAACAAAACGAAAACAAAAAACCAGGGCCCCAGUAUUAGAGUUUCUAAUUCAAUAGGUACAGGAUGGGGCCUGAUAAUUUGCACUUUUAACAAGUUUCCAGGUGCUGCUGCUGCUGCAGAUCUGGGAACCACACUUUGAGAACCACUGAACAAGACAUUAUGUCAUUGGUCCCUAUUAAAAAAAAGAAAGCCAUCUUCAAAUGAUCUUCACACUGGCAGAGCCAUAAGCUGCGAUGGAACCUAACCUCUGUGCCCCUUCAAUGUGGAACAUGUGGUCAUCAAAGAAGAUGUGGGGCCGGAUCUUCACCAAGAUGGGACUUUUGGGGGCUCCAGCAAGGAAAAGAGCUUCGUCUAUCUCUAGACCCCAGCGUCGAAGGGUCUUCAGCACACGGGCGCCUGAACUGGCUGCACUCCUAGCUGUAACCAGCCAUCAUCCAUGGAAAGUCCAGAUUAGCCUCCUGGAUGGAUUUGUGAGAAGCAGAGCCUCUCCUCCAAGCCAGAGAAGCCAUUGUGUACCAGCUCGCCCUAUUAGCAUACCAUGUGCCCAGGAGUAAACAGGCUCAACAUCAACAUUUGAGGUGAAUCCGCAAGUAUGCAGUCCAAACUUUCUCUGAAUCAAUUUGGCCGCUAGGGAUUAUAGAGAAUACCAGGGCCAGAAGCUGUAUCACAUACAAAGCAGUUUUCCCUUUCUGGAAUCUCACUGUGGGACAUUGUGGGAAAUAAACAGUGGAAAAAAUAUAUGGACUGUUCUGUGUUUCCCUUUGCAAGAUUACUCACAUGUAAAUGGAAAUAAUAUUAGGGCCUGCCUCAUGAGGCAGCUGAGAAAAUGAAAUGAGAAAAAACAUUAAGUACUCGGCAUAAUGUGGAGCACAUAGUAUGCACUCAUCACAGUGCCCAGAGAUGCUCUCUGCACCACACCACCACUGCUGGGGUCGGGGAGCGGAGUUGGUGAUCCAGGAAUGUUUUCCUGUUUCUUCAGUGCCUCUUUCAGUGAUAUGAAGUUAAAACCAGGGACACAGGAGAGAAUUAAGCUGACACCAGGAGACACAGCUGACACUGGGGAGAAGUGGUGAAGACAGCAUCCUGGAAGAGGUGAGACUACUGUCUCUGAAGUUACUACAACUCUUCCAUUAAUUUUGUGAGCUUCCAUCGUUUCCUACAUGAACAUUUAUUAAAAUAUUUCCAAUGCAGACUAUGGAGAGAUAGAGAAGAGAUAAGAAAGAGAAAGAGGUGAGUCGUGAGUGCAGUUGUAAAAUAUAAAUACUUUUAAA
rnacentral:lncRNA from 1 species